rnacentral:rRNA from 1 species
GGCUCGCGGCCGGUAGAAGUUCUUUGGAACAGGACAUCAUAGAGGGUGACAAUCCCGUCUGCGACCGGUCGUGCGUUCAUCUACGAUACGCUUUCAAAGAGUCGAGUUGUUUGGGAUUGCAGCUCCAAAUGGGUGGUAAACAUCACCUAAGGCUAAAUAUUGGCGAGAGACCGAUAGCGAACAAGUACCGUGAGGGAAAGAUGAAAAGAACUUUGAAAAGAGAGUUAAACAGUACGUGAAAUUGUUGAAAGGGAAACGAUUGAAGUCAGUCGUGCUGGCGCGAAAUCAACCCUCUCGUCGAGAGGACACAUGGCGUGGCGAGCCUCAAAACCGUCACGAAGCGUGAACUCUUGGCGAAAAGGAGCACUUUCGUGUCCGCUGGUUAACAUCAAUUUCGAACGUCAUAAAAAGGCUGGAGGGAUGUGGCUCCUCUGUAAUCGUCGGGAGUGUUAUAACCUUUAGCGGAAUGUGGUGGUCGGGAUUGAGGACUGCAACGAAUACCUUUAGGGCUGUUCCACCUGGCUUCUCUUUGGCAUCCUGGUGACGACAGCUUGCUGACGUUGUUAGGAAUCGCCUUU